GACGAACGCUGGCGGCGUGCCUAAUACAUGCAAGUCGAGCGGAAUGAUGAAGAAGCUUGCUUUUUUCUGAUUUUAGCGGCGGACGGGUGAGUAACACGUGGGCAACCUACCUUGUAGAUUGGGAUAACUCCGGGAAACCGGGGCUAAUACCGAAUAAUCCAUUUUGCUUCAUGGCGAGAUGUUGAAAGACGGUUUCGGCCGUCACUACAAGAUGGGCCCGCGGCGCAUUAGCUAGUUGGUAGGGUAAUGGCCUACCAAGGCGACGAUGCGUAGCCGACCUGAGAGGGUGAUCGGCCACACUGGGACUGAGACACGGCCCAGACUCCUACGGGAGGCAGCAGUAGGGAAUCUUCCACAAUGGACGAAAGUCUGAUGGAGCAACGCCGCGUGAGUGAAGAAGGUUUUCGGAUCGUAAAACUCUGUUGUAAGGGAAGAACACGUACGACGAGUAACCUGCUCGUACCUUGACGGUACCUUAUUAGAAAGCCACGGCUAACUACGUG
rnacentral:rRNA from 1 species